UGGGAAAAAAGCCAUCUUGAAGUUAAUGGAUGCCGUGGAUGAAUACAUUCCUGACCCUGUGAGGCAACUUGACAAACCUUUCCUAAUGCCAAUAGAAGAUGUUUUCUCAAUUCAGGGACGUGGAACUGUUGCAACUGGACGUGUUGAACAAGGGACCAUUAAAGUUGGUGAAGAAGUAGAGAUUUUGGGGUUAAUGCAGGGUGCUCCUCUAAAAACAACUGUGACAGGUGUUGAGAUGUUUAAGAAAAUCUUGGAUCAAGGACAAGCUGGUGACAAUGUGGGUCUUCUCCUACGUGGUCUAAAGCGAGAUGAUGUGCAAAGAGGACAGGUGAUUG
rnacentral:misc_RNA from 1 species